AGUGAACGCUGGCGGUAGGCCUAACACAUGCAAGUCGAACGGCAGCACAGUAAGAGCUUGCUCUUACGGGUGGCGAGUGGCGGACGGGUGAGGAAUACAUCGGAAUCUACUUUUUCGUGGGGGAUAACGUAGGGAAACUUACGCUAAUACCGCAUACGACCUACGGGUGAAAGCAGGGGAUCUUCGGACCUUGCGCGAUUCAAUGAGCCGAUGUCGGAUUAGCUAGUUGGCUGGGUAAAGGCCCACCAAGGCGACGAUCCGUAGCUGGUCUGAGAGGAUGAUCAGCCACACUGGAACUGAGACACGGUCCAGACUCCUACGGGAGGCAGCAGUGGGGAAUAUUGGACAAUGGGCGCAAGCCUGAUCCAGCCAUACCGCGUGGGUGAAGAAGGCCUUCGGGUUGUAAAGCCCUUUUGUUGGGAAAGAAAAGCAGCAGGUUAAUACCCCGCUGUUCUGACGGUACCCAAAGAAUAAGCACCGGCUAACUUCGUG
rnacentral:rRNA from 1 species